rnacentral:RNase_P_RNA from 1 species
GCAGCAAGCUUAACACCGCGAUGCUCGUUCCGGACAGAACUUUCAUGUUCCUUUUCACGAGCGGGUAAGGUCUGAGUAUGCUCCUUCCAUUGACUCUAGCUGGGUCCAGGAUCAAUUGUCCUGAACGACAUAUUAGAAAUUCGCCUGUCCGCCGCGACAUAUGUGGCUGCGCCUCGAAGAUUUAUGCUUUCUCUUGGAGGACAUUUCCAGAGUGGUUUGUAAGGAGAGCAAGAGUAUGGCUUGGAACUUGUCGUGGAGCUUGGGUCCUUCGAGCUGUUUGGCGUGCUUUAUCGGCACAGCAGGAUCUCCUUUGGAUAUUCCGGUCGAUUGAGAGAGGGAAUAUUGAUGCUAUGAGCUCGUUCUUCUUGCCUCAGGCUCACCACCCAGGAGCAUUGGCUUCAAGGCCAGGUCCAUUGUGAUUUGUGUUGGCGGCUUGUUUUUUUACUGGCUGUGGAUUCGCUGAAUCCCCCCUGGUCAUGACACUUCGCCAUUGGUGUUAUCCCAGUGCACGAGGAGAACCCCACGCCAAUGCACGUCGGGGGAUCCUUCAGUGCACUUCGUGGUGCGCUCUAAUGUGCAACUCGAUUCAGACUAUUCUUUGUCUGC